UCCAACGAGGAUAAUACGCCAAUCUCGUAUUAUCCUCGAUUUUCAUAAGCACCAACUAGUAUUAUCUUUGAUUUUAAUACUGGUAUUAACUUUAAUACGCCGAUUUCGGCGUAUUAAAGAUAAUCGGAGAUUUACUUAUGAUGGUUGCGUGCUUAUAAAAAGAUCACACACAUACUAAUGCGUGUAGAGAGAUGCCAAAUCAUAAUAACAAAAACAGCUGACAUCACCGCGAACGAUAUUUUGUUUUCUUUUGUGGCUCGUAGCUGGCUGGGCGAAAUCGUUCACGGCCAUCGGAAUUUUACCCUGGAGUCUUCGGUUGGAUAUCGCAGCUCGCAAGAAGGAACAAUGUUGCCGACUACCGGAAGAGAGCAUUUGCACAUGAAGAGAAUCAGUCUUAUUCACGGGCGUGAUUUGUUGAUAGAACCGAAACGUAGCCCAAUUUCCUUUAGGUGCACCCAGCUGCAAAAAGUAAGCUGAAGUUAAAAUUAUGCUUCUCAAUUGCACGGCAUCCAAGAGAGGCAACAACUGCAUUCGAUAACCCGGAGCUCGGAAGAUUUCAGAAAAGAUGGAUCAGAACGUUAUUAAAAUAUUGAAACAAGCUGGGCAGUCAACCUGGUCAACUUAAACGAGAACUUAGCUUAGGUUUAAUUAAAGACAACUAUAUUUAAAAUAAAAAUGUUUUUCAAGAAAA